rnacentral:rRNA from 1 species
UCCAGACUCCUACGGGAGGCAGCAGUGGGGAAUAUUGCACAAUGGGGGGAACCCUGAUGCAGCGACGCCGCGUGGGUGAAGGAGCACCUCGGUGCGUAAAGCCCUAUCGGCAGGGAAGAAACAGACGGUACCUGACUAAGAAGCCCCGGCUAACUACGUGCCAGCAGCCGCGGUAAUACGUAGGGGGCAAGCGUUAUCCGGAUUCACUGGGUGUAAAGGGAGCGUAGACGGCGACGCAAGUCUGGAGUGAAAGCCCGCGGCUCAACUGCGGAACGGCUUUGGAAACUGAGUAACUGGAGUACUGGAGAGGCAAGCGGAAUUCCUAGUGUAGCGGUGAAAUGCGUAGAUAUUAGGAGGAACACCAGUGGCGAAGGCGGCUUGCUGGACAGAGACUGACGUUGAGGCUCGAAAGCGUGGGGAGCAAACAGGAUUAGAUACCCGAGUA